rnacentral:tRNA from 1 species
GGUCCCGUAGCUCAGCUGGAUAGAGCGCCAGACUUCUAAUCUGGAUGUCGCAGGUUCGAAUCCUGCCGGGAUCGCCA